rnacentral:rRNA from 1 species
CGGCCUUGACAUACUAAGAACUUUCCAGAGAUGGAUUGGUGCCUUCGGGAACUUAGAUACAGGUGCUGCAUGGCUGUCGUCAGCUCGUGUCGUGAGAUGUUGGGUUAAGUCCCGNAACGAGCGCAACCCUUUUCCUAUUUGCCAGCGGGUCAUGCCGGGAACUUUAAGGAUACUGCCAGUGACAAACUGGAGGAAGGCGGGGACGACGUCAAGUCAUCAUGGCCCUUACGGCCAGGGCUACACACGUGCUACAAUGGUCGGUACAAAGGGUUGCUACCUCGCGAGAGGAUGCUAAUCUCAAAAAGCCGAUCGUAGUCCGGAUCGCAGUCUGCAACUCGACUGCGUGAAGUCGGAAUCGCUAGUAAUCGCGGAUCAGAAUGCCGCGGUCGAAUACGUUCCCGGGCCUUGUACACACCGCCCGUCACACCAUGGGAGUUUGUUGCACCAGAAGUAGGUAGUCUAACCGCAAGGAGGACGCUUACCACGGUGUGGCCGAUGACUGGGGUGAAGUCGUAACAAGGUAAGCGUAGAUGA